rnacentral:rRNA from 1 species
GAUGAACGCUGGCGGCGUGCCUAAUACAUGCAAGUCGAGCGAACGGACGCGAAGCUUUCUUCUCUGAUGUUAGCGACGGACGGGUGAGUAACACGUGGAUAACCUACCUAUCAGGCUUGGAUAACUUCGGGAAACCGGAGCUACUACCGGAUACUAUUUUGAACCGCAUUGUUCAGAAGUGCAAGACGGUCUUGCUGUCACUUAUAGAUGGAUCCGCGCUGCAUUAGCUAGUUGGUAAGGUAACGGCUUACCAAGGAAACGAUGCAUAGCCGACCUGAGAGGGUGAUCGGCCACACUGGAACUGAAACACGGUCCAGACUCCUACGGGAGGCAGCAGUAGGGAAUCUUCCGCAAUGGGCGAAAGCCUGACGGAGCAACGCCGCGUGAGUGAUGAAGGUCUUCGGAUCGUAAAACUCUCUUAUUAGGGAAGAACAUAUGUGUAAGUAACUGUGCACAUCUUGACGGUACCUAAUGAGAAAGCCACGGCUAACUACGUG